UGGAAGUUAUCAACACAUCGUUUUCUGC
rnacentral:piRNA from 1 species